GCGGGUGUAGCUCAGUUGGUUAGAGUGCCGGCCUGUCACGCCGGAGGUCGCGGGUUCAAGUCCCGUCACUCGCG
rfam:Novosphingobium sp. Rr 2-17 contig11, whole genome shotgun sequence.